rnacentral:rRNA from 1 species
GAGUUUGAUCAUGGCUCAGAUUGAACGCUGGCGGCAGGCCUAACUCAUGCAAGUCGAACGGUAACAGGAAACAGCUUGCUGUUUCGCUGACGAGUGGCGGACGGGUGAGUAAUGUCUGGGAAACUGCCUGAUGGAGGGGGAUAACUACUGGAAACGGUAGCUAAUACCGCAUAACGUCGCAAGACCAAAGAGGGGGACCUUCGGGCCUCUUGCCAUCAGAUGUGCCCAGAUGGGAUUAGCUAGUAGGUGGGGUAACGGCUCACCUAGGCGACGAUCCCUAGCUGGUCUGAGAGGAUGACCAGCCACACUGGAACUGAGACACGGUCCAGACUCCUACGGGAGGCAGCAGUGGGGAAUAUUGCACAAUGGGCGCAAGCCUGAUGCAGCCAUGCCGCGUGUAUGAAGAAGGCCUUCGGGUUGUAAAGUACUUUCAGCGGGGAGGAAGGGAGUAAAGUUAAUACCUUUGCUCAUUGACGUUACCCGCAGAAGAAGCACCGGCUAACUCCGUGCCAGCAGCCGCGGUAAUACGGAGGGUGCAAGCGUUAAUCGGAAUUACUGGGCGUAAAGCGCACGCAGGCGGUUUGUUAAGUCAGAUGUGAAAUCCCCGGGCUCAACCUGGGAACUGCAUCUGAUACUGGCAAGCUUGAGUCUCGUAGAGGGGGGUAGAAUUCCAGGUGUAGCGGUGAAAUGCGUAGAGAUCUGGAGGAAUACCGGUGGCGAAGGCGGCCCCCUGGACGAAGACUGACGCUCAGGUGCAAAAGCGUGGGGAGCAAACAGGAUUAGAUACCCUGGUAGUCCACGCCGUAAACGAUGUCGACUUGGAGGUUGUGCCCUUGAGGCGUGGCUUCCGGAGCUAACGCGUUAAGUCGACCGCCUGGGGAGUACGGCCGCAAGGUUAAAACUCAAAUGAAUUGACGGGGGCCCGCACAAGCAGUGGAGCAUGUGGUUUAAUUCGAUGCAACGCGAAGAACCUUACCUGGUCUUGACAUCCACGGAAGUUUUCAGAGAUGAGAAUGUGCCUUCGGGAACCGUGAGACAGGUGCUGCAUGGCUGUCGUCAGCUCGUGUUGUGAAAUGUUGGGUUAAGUCCCGCAACGAGCGCAACCCUUAUCCUUUGUUGCCAGCGGUCCGGCCGGGAACUCAAAGGAGACUGCCAGUGAUAAACUGGAGGAAGGUGGGGAUGACGUCAAGUCAUCAUGGCCCUUACGACCAGGGCUACACACGUGCUACAAUGGCGCAUACAAAGUGAAGCGACCUCGCGAGAGCAAGCGGACCUCAUAAAGUGCGUCGUAGUCCGGAUUGGAGUCUGCAACUCGACACCAUGAAGUCGGAAUCGCUAGUAAUCGUGGAUCAGAAUGUCACGGUGAAUACGUUCCCGGGCCUUGUACACACCGCCCGUCACACCAUGGGAGUGGGUUGCAAAAGAAGUAGGUAGCUUAACCUUCGGGAGGGCGCUUACCACUUUGUGAUUCAUGACUGGGGUGAAGUCGUAACAAGGUAACCGUAGGGGAACCUGCGGUUG